CCUACGGGUGGCUGCAGUGGGGAAUAUUGGACAAUGGGCGAAAGCCUGAUCCAGCCAUGCCGCGUGUGUGAAGAAGGCCUUCGGGUUGUAAAGCACUUUCAGUGGGGAAGAAAGCCUUGGGGCUAAUACCCUCGAGGAGGGACAUCACCCACAGAAGAAGCACCGGCUAACUCCGUGCCAGCAGCCGCGGUAAUACGGAGGGUGCGAGCGUUAAUCGGAAUUACUGGGCGUAAAGCGCGCGUAGGCGGUCUGAUAAGCCGGUUGUGAAAGCCCCGGGCUCAACCUGGGAACGGCAUCCGGAACUGUCAGGCUAGAGUGCAGGAGAGGAAGGUAGAAUUCCCGGUGUAGCGGUGCAAUGCGUAGAGAUCGGGAGGAAUACCAGUGGCGAAGGCGGCCUUCUGGACUGACACUGACGCUGAGGUGCGAAAGCGUGGGUAGCAAACAGGAUUAGAUACCCGUGUAGUC
rnacentral:rRNA from 1 species